AGCCGCGGUAAUUCCAGCUCCAAUAGCGUAUAUUAAAGUUGUUGCAGUUAAAAGCUCGUAGUUGAAUUUCGGGGUUAGUAGGUUGGUCAUGCCUCCGGUAUGUACUGGUCUCACUGAUUCCUCCUUCCUGAUGAGCUGUAAUGCCAUUAAUUUGGUGUUGCAGGGAAUCUGGACUGUUACUUUGAAAAAAUUAGAGUGUUUAAAGCAGGCUAACGCUUGAAUACAUUAGCAUGGAAUAAUGAAAUAGGACGUUCGAUCCUAUUUUGUUAGGUUUCUAGGAUUGACGUAAUGAUUAAUAGGGAUAGUUGGGGGCAUUAGUAUUCAAUUGUCAGAGGUGAAAUUCUUGGAUUUAUUGAAGACUAACUACUGCGAAAGCAUUUGCCAAGGAUGUUUUCAUUAAUCAAGAACGAAAGUUAGGGGGAUCGAAGACGAUCAGAUACCGUCGUAGUCUUAACCAUAAACUAUGCCGACUAGGGAUCGGAUGAUGUUAAUUUUUUAAUGACUCAUUCGGCGCCUUACG
rnacentral:rRNA from 1 species